rnacentral:tRNA from 1 species
GUGGUUAUAGCUCAGUGGUAGAGCGUGUGCUUAGCAAUCAUGAUGGUCCUGGAUUCAAUCCCCAGUAUUUCCA